UUUAUUUACAAAAGAACCGAGCCAAUGGUCAAUCCGCAUGACCAAGUCCUCCCUCUUCGUCAUCGUCGCAUGUUUAAAUGUUAAUUAAUUUCUUCAGUGAUGAAAGUGAUACGGGAUUAAGCUUACUGGAGCGGACGCCCAACUCCUCCCUCUACGCCGUCGUUUCCUGUUUUCUUCGUCUUCUUUUGACAGUAAACCAGGUUAUCAGAGUCGACUGUUGCUCCAGCGGCUGAGGGAAGGUGGUGAUCGGCUGCGACGACGGCACCGUCGCCUUCCUCCACCGCGGCCUCACUUCGGUUUUGGAUUCCAAGCUCACUCCACCUCCGUGCUCUUCCUUCGGCAGCUCAAGAAUCAGCAACGAAACGGUUUGGUGACAAUUGGAGAAGAUGAACAGAUUACUCCGCAGCAAUCGGCAAUGUGCCUCAAGGUUUUCGACGGCACGAGCUCAAGCACAACGAGCCCUGAUUGCGUUGGAAUCUUGAGGAUAUUCACCAACCAAUUUCCUGAAGCAAAGCCUAUUGGUUAAAUGGAGAGCAAGUUGUUUAAGAAGAACAUUGCAUGAGAAGGGCCCUUGCUUCCAAAGUUCAUACCGCUCUUCCACGGAAUUGCUACACCAAAUUGAAUGAUGUUGGCAGGCUAAAUGUGUUCAUUAAAAGUGAGGGUGGUUUUGGGGGACAUAUAUUUGAUGUGGAGACUGCAAGAGGUCUGACUCUUCUUGUGGAGUUAUCUGUCUCCUGCAGCGGCAACGAAUUGCAAAGUUCUUGAAAUUCCUUCGAAUGUCUUUGAAGGUGGGUGUUGGCAGGAGUGGUGGGAACCGUUGGUUGCUUUGUGUUGUCAAUUGGGAUAGCACGUCUGCAAGAACAAAGAAAGUUGUAAAACAUUGUAGCACGGCUGGUAUUGUACGUACUGUGUAGCAUGAAAACUUGAGCCUGAAAUUUAUCAAUCAACCAUCCAACGUAUAUUACAUACAA